rnacentral:rRNA from 1 species
UGGGUGAUCUGCCCUGCACUUUGGGAUAAGCCUGGGAAACUGGGUCUAAUACCGGAUAUACCCUGCUGGUCGCAUGGCCUGGUGGGGGAAAGCUUUUGCGGUGUGGGAUGGGCCCGCGGCCUAUCAGCUUGUUGGUGGGGUGAUGGCCUACCAAGGCGACGACGGGUAGCCGGCCUGAGAGGGUGACCGGCCACACUGGGACUGAGAUACCGGCCCAGACUCCGUGGCGGGA